CCUACGGGUGGCAGCAGUGAGGAAUAUUGGUCAAUGGGCGCGAGUCUGAACCAGCCAAGUCGCGUGAGGGAAGACGGUCCUAUGGAUUGUAAACCUCUUUUGUCGGGGAGCAAAAGACGCCACGCGUGGCGUUCCGCGAGUACCCGAAGAAAAAGCAUCGGCUAACUCCGUGCCAGCAGCCGCGGUAAUACGGAGGAUGCGAGCGUUAUCCGGAUUUAUUGGGUUUAAAGGGUGCGCAGGCGGAAGAUCAAGUCAGCGGUAAAAUUGAGAGGCUCAACCUCUUCGAGCCGUUGAAACUGGUUUUCUUGAGUGAGUGAGAAGUAUGCGGAAUGCGUGGUGUAGCGGUGAAAUGCAUAGAUAUCACGCAGAACUCCGAUUGCGAAGGCAGCAUACCGGCGCUCAACUGACGCUCAUGCACGAAAGUGUGGGUAUCGAACAGGAUUAGAUACCCUAGUAGUC
rnacentral:rRNA from 1 species